rnacentral:rRNA from 1 species
CAGGUUGAAGGUUGGGUAACACUAACUGGAGGACCGAACCGACUAAUGUUGAAAAAUUAGCGGAUGACUUGUGGCUGGGGGUGAAAGGCCAAUCAAACCGGGAGAUAGCUGGUUCUCCCCGAAAGCUAUUUAGGUAGCGCCUCGUGAAUUCAUCUCCGGGGGUAGAGCACUGUUUCGGCAAGGGGGUCAUCCCGACUUACCAACCCGAUGCAAACUGCGAAUACCGGAGAAUGUUAUCACGGGAGACACACGGCGGGUGCUAACGUCCGUCGUGAAGAGGGAAACAACCCAGACCGCCAGCUAAGGUCCCAAAGUCAUGGUUAAGUGGGAAACGAUGUGGGAAGGCCCAGACAGCCAGGAUGUUGGCUUAGAAGCAGCCAUCAUUUAAAGAAAGCGUAAUAGCUCACUGGUCGAGUCGGCCUGCGCGGAAGAUGUAACGGGGCUAAACCAUGCACCGAAGCUGCGGCAGCGACACUAUGUGUUGUUGGGUAGGGGAGCG